rnacentral:rRNA from 1 species
UACGGAGGGAGCUAGCGUUAUUCGGAAUUACUGGGCGUAAAGCGCACGUAGGCGGCUUUGUAAGUUAGAGGUGAAAGCCCGGAGCUCAACUCCGGAACUGCCUUUAAGACUGCAUCGCUUGAAUCCAGGAGAGGUGAGUGGAAUUCCGAGUGUAGAGGUGAAAUUCGUAGAUAUUCGGAGGAACACCAGUGGCGAAGGCGGCUCACUGGCUCGAUACUGACGCUGAGGUGCGAAAGCGUGGGGAGCAAACAGG